rnacentral:rRNA from 1 species
AUACGGAGGGUGCGAGCGUUAAUCGGAAUUACUGGGCGUAAAGCGUACGUAGGCGGCUUGGUCAGUCGGAUGUGAAAGCCCCGGGCUUAACCUGGGAAUUGCACUCGAUACUGCCAGACUAGAGUUUAGUAGAGGAAUGCGGAAUUCCGGGUGUAGCGGUGAAAUGCGUAGAUAUCCGGAGGAACAUCAGUGGCGAAGGCGGCAUUCUGGGCUAAAACUGACGCUGAGGUACGAAAGCGUGGGGAGCAAACAGGAUUAGAAACCCCGGUAGUCC